AUGGAUGUUUAUUAUAUUCCUUUUAGAUCUCCUUUUGGCAGCUGGAUGAGAAGGGCAUGCCACCAUAAAGGAGGGAUCACUGAAACGAGGUUAAAGUUGUAUUCAAAAGCAACACCAGUGCUGUACGUUGCACGUAUCACCACUAUUGAGGGUCAAUACCUCUUCCCUGGAGUCACUGUCAGAGUUCUAGAACUGCAUUUGGGGAAAUCAAGAACUGAAUACGUUCCUUUUUUAUUUCUGCUCAUUUUCAGGGUGGUUCUUCCCAAACAGAGUUGAGCAGCCAGGUUACGUUUCUUGAAGAGUUGGGCCUAGCAAUAUGGCAGCGCACGUUCGAUAAGAAACCCCGUAAAGCGCUGCCCCUGAGGGCAUCAGAGGAGGAUAUUGAGAGUAAUCUGGACAUAGCAGCUUUCUUCCAAGGAUCUCAAAACACUCUAAGGACAUGCUUUUCUCUGCAACCUUCCUCUCACUCCAUUUCUAUGAGAACUCUUCCUGCAAAUUGGGUCCCUAAGAGGAUUAGUGAAGGGGAUACCAAUUUAUUUAUACCCACCUCAGCGUGGCAGCAGACAGACAUUGUAAGUUGCUGGAUUAUUAAAUGGUUUGUAACAUGUGAAAGAAGCUUCCUUCUUCUAGUGCAGUUCAGAGUGGACAGGUGUCUACAUCACAGCCACUCUGAACUGACCCCCAGCUCCUGCAUUUUUUUCUCUUCUUAACCUGUUCACGCUGGCAAUACAAAUGGACAUGCUGAGGAGACUAAGUGGACUACAGAGAUUCAGUCCCUUCAAGUGUGAGAUAGACUGCUGUAGGGAUACAUUAUUGCUAUGUUGUAGAUGCACAUUAUUGCUGUUCUCAGGGCAAAGAUGCCUUUGGUCACCACGGAAAAGUUUUCAGGCAUCUUUCCGUUGCACUUAGUACACUGGAAAAAAAAAAAAAUACAGAAUGAGGGAGAGAGAUAAGAAGCCAGGAGAAAACCCUCAAGCUUUCUCUGCUUACACUUCCGAUUCUGGAUAGCUACAGUGCCAAGCGAUAUUGCCAUUUCAGUCGUCUUCUACUGUGCCUGGCUUGAAUGAUCCCAAAGGAGCAAGCGGAGGUAAAUAUACGGCUAUGAUCAAAAGAGAGUAAAGCCUCUAUUAUUUGUGCCAGCCUACAGGCGCUUAGGUUUUGGAAUCUGAGUCUUUGAAAAACAAGGUUACUUGGAGCUCUAGUAAAUAAAGUGUCUGGAUGUUAGUGGUGAUUCA
rnacentral:lncRNA from 1 species